GAUGAAGAACGUAGCGAAAUGCGAUAAGUAAUGCGAAUUGCAGAAUUCCAGUGAGUCAUCGAAUCUUUGAACGCACAUUGCGCCCUUUGGUAUUCCGAAGGGCAUGCCUGUUCGAGCGUCAUUAUCACCCCUCAAGCCCUCGGCUUGGUGUUGGACGGUUUGGUGGAGGCCCCCUCGGGGGCUCCUGCCCCUCCCAAAGACAAUGACGGCGGCCUCGUUGGACCCCCGGUACACAGAGUUCUUCACGGGACACGUAUCGGACACAUGGGUUUACGGGACACGGUCUGCCUCCCCUCAGGGAGAAUCUUUCUAAGGUUGACCUCGGAUCAGGUAGGGAUACCCGCUGAACUUAAGCAUAUCAAUAAGCGGAGGA
rnacentral:misc_RNA from 1 species